GAUGAACGCUAGCGGCAGGCUUAACACAUGCAAGUCGAGGGGUAUAGUUCUUCGGAACUAGAGACCGGCGCACGGGUGCGUAACGCGUAUGCAAUCUACCUUUUGCAGAGGGAUAGCCCAGAGAAAUUUGGAUUAAUACCUCAUGGUAUGUGAGAAUGGCAUCAUUUUCACAUUAAAGUCACAACGGCAAAAGAUGAGCAUGCGUCCCAUUAGCUUGUUGGUAAGGUAACGGCUUGCUAAGGCAACGAUGGGUAGGGGUCCUGAGAGGGAGAUCCCCCACACUGGUACUGGGACACGGACCAGACUCCUACGGGAGGCAGCAGUGAGGAAUAUUGGACAAUGGGCGCAAGCCUGAUCCAGCCAUGCCGCGUGCAGGAUGACGGUCCUAUGGAUUGUAAACUGCUUUUGUACAGGAAGAAACACUGGUUCGUGAACCAGCUUGACGGUACUGUAAGAAUAAGGAUCGGCUAACUCCGUGCCAGCCGCCGCCGUAACAC
rnacentral:rRNA from 1 species